GUAGAAGCAAUGCAAUAAACACACAGAGAGAUCGGCAGCCCAGCAGUCAGGGAAGGGCAACUCUGUUCCCUUCAUUCCCUGAGCAGUCAGGAGGAGGCAGGGUCUUCAGUCAUCCCCACUCCACUUGCUGGCCAGAGGAGAGGAGAUGUAGAGAUGUCUUUAGGAUCAGUGAACCCUACAGCCACGCUACAUCUGCAGAUGCCAUGCCUCAGAUAGCCCUCUCAUAUCCCUGAUGUGAAGAAUUCCUCCUGGGCUGGUGCAGCUGUGCCUGGACUUUACAAGCUCUCCCUUUGCUAUGUGUGGACAUUUACUUCUUGUGAUGUUUUUUGCUUAAGGAGGUUGAAAGAAGCUGAAACUGUGACAUGAGCUAUGCAGGCUACCAUGCACGGGGGUGUGCUCAUCAGAAGGAUGAACUCUCAGUCACAGAGGAAAAGACAUUACGGCAGUGGAGACAGAAAGUGAGUCAUGUGGGCAUCUCAAGCAUAAUGCAAGAUUGAUUAAUUUCUGCAGUGUGCAGCAACUGUUUCUGAAGCUUGGGCUCGUAGUGAUGUUUAAAGUGAACUUAUCUGCUGGGUAAUGAUUUAAUUUGUACACUUACUAAUUGUUGUAACAGCCAGGCAGCAGGGUAUUGAUUAGGUGCUGUGAAUGUUGCAACACAAUAAAUGGAAAGAAGUAGGUGUUCUCUCCCUUGGCUCAGGUGAUGCCUUUCUCCAGGAACGGACCCACUGACUUUCAGGAGCACAACUUGCAGGAGUGAAGAGAUAAGAACCUGACCAUAGCUACCAGGUCUGACUGAAAGUCAGUUAAAUAGGGAUAAAUGUGUUGAAAUAAUUAACAUCAUUCUUAUGAGGGACACAAACACACAGUGUCUUCUGAUGGAAUAGGUGCCAAUCUCCCUGGGCCUGUUCCUGUUGCGAAGCAUUUGUUCAUGACCCUGUCUGAGCCCAGACUCACAGAUCAUUUAAAUACAUUUCCUGAACUUUGUUCUGGCAUCCCCACUCGCCGUCGCUGAUUGUUCCUGGAAACACAUUGGGAACAGGAUGCCAGAGAGGAGGUUUGCAGAGAAGCCCCAGCUCCCUCCUGCAGGAUGGGGCUGAAGGCAAGGAGCGCUGCCGCAGGCUGCGUGGUGUUUGUCGUGGCCUUCAGCAGAGGCAGGACCAGGAGCGAGGGCUCCUCCUCUGCGUCUCUGAAAACCAAGCAGCCUGCUUUAAGCCUGGGUCCCAAGACUAAUAAAAACUCUUGAGUGAUGAGACACAAAAGAUGUGUAGAGCUGGCUAGCACACCUGGCUAACAGUGACCUCCGAGGACGGUCUGGGGCAGCUCUUCCCUCGCCCGUUCGGGUGGCAGGAACGAAGAGGGAGCCACUGCAGCCUGUAAUGGAUGUGUUCUGCUAACACGGACUCACAGGUUUCCAAAGAGAAAUUUAUAUCAAGAUGUCUAAUUUGUGAGAAAGCACUGAAAGUGAAAUUUCGGUUAUAACCACGCAGGCUCUUAGCAGAUAUGCCACAGCACAGAGAGCUGCUUGGAAAGAUCUAACUCCAGAGUGCAGGAUGUGUGGCCAGGCCCCAGAGAAUAUUAGUCAUAUUAUAAGUGAAUGCUCAGAGCUGGCCGGAGAUGAGUAUAAAGUACAGUAUGACAAAGUUGGCAGUACGUGCAUUGAGCAUGCUGCCGGGGGGCGGGGGGGAUACUGCCACAACCACAAUUAUCACUCCCAGCCAGGUAAAUUGAUUGCAACUGAGGUAAAAUUGAAGUUUGUUAAAAAACAAAACAACAGUCAGUUGUGGUGCCUGCAGAAUAGAGGGGGAGAGCGACAGAGCAAGCUUCAACCUUAACGUCUGCGCUGGGUGACGGCACUGACGGAGAACACAAGAAGCUGCAAAUACGAGUGCAUAUAGCAGGAAGAAAAUCUGGGGCAUGAAAAUGGGCCAUGACUCUGUAUCUCCCCCUUAUUUCCAGUGGGUUGAGAUCUUGCAGCAGCGCUUGGGCUGGAGAUCAG